CGCGGGCGGCGCCGAGGACGAGGCCGCGGGAGGGCCGGCCGGCGGGCGAGCGCCGCCGCCGACGCACACGAGGUGACCAGGCAUUGAUGCACCCCCAGGGAGGCCACGCGCUCAAGGAGGCCACCCCCGCUGGCUGCUGCUCACAUGGUUUCUGGGCCCCUGGCACUCCGACUUGGGGCGAGCGAGCGGUAGACCGGCCUCCGCCACUGCACGCUCCCGCCAGACCGAGCCCACCACUGGGGCUCCUCCAGGAUUGCAAAAAAGGUAAAGAAGAAAAGAUGAACCUUUAAACAAAUACGAAUCUCAGAGACUCGCAGCAUAGCCAUACACCUCAGCCUGUGAAACGAACAAUCUGGACCCAGACGGACUUUCAGAACCACACACAGCCGUGUGUGUUACCGUUGGUCGCCACUUGGGGGCUCUGGGCUGUCCGCCGCCCCCGCCCCCACCCUCACCCGUCAGUAUUCACUGGACUGGCCGUGUGCAGGAGUGCGAUCGGGGCGGGCUGGCUGGGCAGGCGGACCCCAGCCGCCCUCCCCGCGGCCGUCCUGAGUCGGGGUGAGGCCUGGGCAGCUGGGAGGGCAGGGAUCAGGGCAGAGGCGGCCGCAUCCGUCCAGUCCCCUUGGCUUGGGGGGUGAAAGCAGAGGCACCAGGCCUCAGAACAGACCAGGGAUCCCAGCCCUACCGGCCCCCUGCAGGGACCAAGGCCCUCCCUAUUCCCCAGAGCCAGGUUGGGCAUCAUUGAACCUGUGAACCCGAUGCCAGGAAGGGGUGGUGGAGCGGUGCCUGACCAGAGCCUCAGUCUGACAUUCCAAAUCAGGGGGUGGGUGUGCGCUGUGGGAAUUGAGGCUGCCCGGGACCCCCUGCCUAGGACCACCCAUCCCCCAACCGGGCUUGUCACCCCACUUUAAUUUUCUACCGGGAACCCCUCCCCCUACCUCACCUUGCUAUUUAUUGCUGUAAUUUAUUGACCUCAAAUAUGCUGCAUAACAGACCUCACUCAGGGCAGAGAGGAUCCCCAGGGCUCCCCCCCUCCACUUGGCGGGGCCCUGUGGGGCCAGGUGCUGAGGGGAACCUCUCUGUCCCCCACCCAUCACUUGCUUUCCCCCUCCCCCAUUGGGGGACCCCAGGUUGGGCACUGGCCCAUUCACAAAUACCUCGAGGGGGAGGGGGAGGGAUGGGGUUAUAGCUGUUUUGUUGGACGGGAACUGGAAGAGGGAUCAUGUCCUGCUAUGCACCCUUCCCAGGAAGGGGGGACCACGAUCGCACUCCUGUACUGGCCACCGCCACUGUCAGUCAUCCCACUGAGUUCACUUCCCUCGAGAGUUUGGAUAAAUUCAGGUCAGAGCUGCAGGUAUGCAACCCUCAAGUGUCAUAGUAAAGCAGUUCACCGAUCUCUCCAUUCAGAAGCGUGCAGUCUUAAUGUACA